rnacentral:tRNA from 2 species
CAGGUAUAAUUCAAUGGUAGAAUGUGAGCUUCCCAAGCUUAAUAUGCGGGUUCGAUUCCCGUUACCUG